rnacentral:lncRNA from 1 species
UGUCACUGGUGACCCUGGUGUCCCUGGUGACCCUGGUGAUAUUGGUGUCCUGGUGAUCCUGGUGUCCCCGAUGAUGGUGGUGAUCCUGGUGAUCCUGGUGUUGCUGGUGUCCCUGGUGAUACUGCUGUCCCUGGUGUCCGUGGUGAUGGUGGUGAUCCUGGGGUUACUGGUGUCCUGGUGAUCCUGGUGUCCCUGGUGUCCUGGUGAUACUGGUGUCCUGGUAUCCUGGUGUGACUGGUGAUCCUGGUGAUCGUGGUGUCCCUGGUGAUCGUGGUGUCCCUGGUGAUGGUGGUGAUGGUGGUGAUCCUGAUGAUGGUGGUGAUCCUGGUGAUCCUGGUGAUGGUGGUGAUCCUGGUGAUUGUGGUGUCCCUGGUGAUGGUGGUGAUGGUGGUGAUCCUGGUGAUCCUGAUGAUGGUGGUGAUCCUGGUGAUCCUGGUGUCCCUGGUGAUCCUGGUGAUGGUGGUGAUGGUGGUGAUGGUGGUGAUGGUGGUGAUCCUGGUGAUGGUGGUGAUGGUGGUGAUCGUGGUGUUCCUGGUGUUCCCUGGUGCAGGUGUCGUUGGUGCGGCUGCGCUGCGUGCGGGCGCUGCGUGCUCUGUACGCGCUGCACGACACGGCCGCGCACAUGGAGCUCUUCACCGGACGCUUCAAGGUCACACUGCCCCAUAGAUCCACGCUGCCCCAUAGAUCCCCAUAGAUCCACGCUGCCCCAUAGAUCCCCAUAGAUCCCCGCUGCCCCACAGAUCCCCACUGCCCCAUAGAUUCCCAUAGAUCCCCGCUGCCCCAUAGAUCCCCCCUGCCCCAUAGAUCCCCGUAAAUCCCCGCUGCCCCAUAGAUCUACGCUGCCCCACAGAUCCCCACUGCCCCAUAGAUCCCCAUAGAUCCCCGCUGCCCCAUAGAUCCC